rnacentral:lncRNA from 10 species
GGAAGACAUUCCAGAAAUAACUGCGGCAUUUAGCACUGAUUUCUGUUCUCCUUCACUACGCUGGCAUGCUGUCUGACAGGACGUGAGACUGCAGAGAAGCCAACCUCACAGCAAAGUCAUGCUUGCAUUGGCCACAACUGUUUGUAAGCAGUGCCAGAAAAUACUGUGUUGCUUAGCCCUGAGAUUCUUCAGGAGCAGGUCACCCCUGUGAGAAGAUCACCUUCCCAUCCUGUGGGUAUCCACCUCUUCAUGGCUUAUUCCUAAAAGUCUGAAGACUCUAAAUUUAAACGUUUUUCUUCAUUUAUUCCUAAAUGAAGAUAUUCUCCUCAUUUAAGAAACUGCUUAUUUUGACAAAAUCAGGAGAGAUUUUAUGCAUUAUAUUCAUAAAUAAAUCUCUCUAUGUUGAUGAAGAAAAGUUAAAAAUUUUAAAUGACAUCUGUAGCAGCCCUCAGCGCAGUUUCUCAUCCGUGAAAACUCAGAGAAAGAAGAAAAUUCUCAACGCUGACAACCACGACUGAAGACAACCUCGUGUUUCGAUUAAAGGUUUGCAAAAACGUUGCUGACUACAGGGCAGGUGAUGAUUAAUAGAGGAAAACCAAUCCUGGAAACACUGGCUGAUGGAGAGAGCGCCAGAGGAAGGGGAGGAUAGUUAUUCCUCUUUGCCCAUGUGCCUGCUGUCUCAGAGACCCAGAAUCUUCACCAACCAUAAGUCUAAGAGCACGAGAAUGAGGAAUCAUGGCACAAAAGGAUGAGUGAAUGUUGUAGAGAUUGUUUCAGCCUGACUUUGAUCUCCACUGCAAGAAUGAACUGAAUUCAAUAAUAGAGGGAAUUGCAAUGCACAUCGGACCCCAAGGGGAUCAGCCCAUCCUUUAGUGGAGGGCUCCUGCCUCACUUCACACUGAAAUUUAAACUCCUUCUCUGGUCCCUGGUAACUACAGGUGAAUUAGUCCCUUUCUUUUUAUUCUUCUCUUAUUUUUAAGUGGCGAUAUAUUUCCAAAAAAUUCUUUUUUCUUUUCUUACUUCAUGCUCCAUGUUUAGAAAAUAUAAGCAAAUAAACAUGUUUUAAAGUCUCCAGUAAUCCCAACUAUUUACAUGAAAAUAGAAAGUAAUCUAGGAAUUUAUCUUUUAUUAUAUAUUUUAAUAUACAAGUAUAAAAAUAGUCUCAUGCAUAAUACUGUUCUGAUUUUUUCCAUUUAAAUAAUCAUGGAUAUUUGUGAAAAUAUAUUUUACUAUUACAACAAGAAUGAAGGAGCAUUAUUUUAAAUAUAUCUGUUUGAUUAUUUUCUCAAGGUAAUUUCUUAUGUGGAAUUACUUGAAAGAAAGGUAUUCAUGAUAUGAAUACCUUUAAGGUUUCUUUUUUAAAUAUUAGUAAAGUAUCUCCUUAAAUAUAAUAUCAAUUUGUGAUUUUGACCUCAGUGUAUGAGACUGCCCAGUUUGCCACAUACUCACCAAUACUCUAUGUAUUACUAUCCUUUUCAAUCUUCGUCAGUCUAAUAUUUUGGUUAAUUUGUUUCAUGAUAUCAAUUGUAAUGGCAAAAAAUUUAUCAUAAGUUUGUUGGAUAUUGGCUUUGCUUUUCUUAUGAAUGUGCAUUUAUUUAUGUCCUAUGCCCAUUUUGCAAUUGAACAUGACCUAUUUUUAUGUAUUCUUUUUACUGAUUUGUAAAGGUUCUUUACAUAUUCUUGUGAUUGUUAAUUUUGUGUCAAACUCACUGAUCCACAGAAUGCCCAGCUAGCUGAUUAAACUUGAUUUCUAGGUGUGUCUGUGAGGGUGUUUCUGGAAGAUAUUAGCAUUUAAAUUGGUGGACUAAAUAAGCAGAUGGCCUCUCCCAAUGUGGAUGGGCACCAUCCAAUCCUUUAAGGGCCUGAAUGGGAUAAAAAGGCUACAGGAGGUUGAAUUUGCUCUCUUCCCUGACUACUUGAACUAGAACAGGGAUCUUCUCCUGCCCUCAGUACUCCUGGUGCUCAGGUCUUCAGAAUCAGACCGGAAUCUUUCCCUGCAAAUUUUAGUUGACUUUUUACCUUAAUUACAUAAUCAGAUAAUUUAUAUAUAUCAAACUUAUAAUGCUUAACGGACUAAAGUUUUUAAGUUACUAAAUUUCACAAAAGAGGUAUUUUCAAAAUAUCACAUAAAAGAAUAUAUGAAAACUUUUUGUCAUAUAUGCUUUCAAACUUAAAAUUCCUAAUAAUAGAUCUCUAACUGCUUUCUACUAUUUACUAAGCCAUUUAUCAUUUUUUUUUGUUAUGCAGUGUCCACAAGGUCCAGCAACAAAACAAACUAUAUGAAAGCAAUAUAACCUUACCACUAUUUAGAUUGUUAAAAUUAGUUUUGGGGAAUUUAUUCCUCAGUUAAUCAGGUCCAAUGUGUAUCUAUGUACUGAGAUUCAGGAUUUUAUCCUGUUAGCACUACCAUAAGAGUUUAGAUUUCCUUAAAUGAGAAAAAUGCAAUAUGUGUAUGUUUUAGAUAUAUAGCUCUGCAAUUAUGAAUUUCUAUCAAUAAUAUUAUACAUAGAAAACGUAUCUUGUAUGUCCUCCAAUUGUGAUCAGAGAAAAACGUACAAGAAAUAUUAGGAGCCUUUUCCUUAGAGUUUCUGAAUAAAAACAUGAGAAGAAGCAAACUUGUGUUCGAGGGGUGCUAAAACAUCCUGCAAAUCUUCAGCUCUGGAGUCACAGGACCAGACAACUGGGAUCCAUGAAGGCAUCUCAGGACUCACCGUCCACUCCCUCACUUCCCAGGGAGGACACUGGUCACCCACAGGGAUUAUGUGAUUUGUCCAAGGUGACAGCACAAGUCAGUGUCAAGAUGCCCACUCUCCUAUAGUCCUAGUCACUGUCCUGCCCAGCUUGCUGCCUCUCUUGAGACUUUGAGAAGGAGCACAAGGCCAUGCCAAUUUCCAUGCUCAGCACAAACACUCACACCACCCCCACUGCUCUCCAGGGAUCACUCACACAGAACCUCAGCCAGUACCUACACACUGCUAACAGACUCCCACAAAUGUGAGGCAGCUGAACUCAGCUUCCCACGAGCACUCAGCAGAGGGAAGACCAUAGGAAACUGUGAGAGUCUAGUUGGCUGCCAAUUUAUUAAUAUGUUGUAGGACUUCAACAAUAGAAUCUCAUCCUCAGACUCAAGCUACACAUGGAUGCCUCCCUCCAAUAAGCCAUGGUGCUACAUUCAGUGCCUCUUACCCUGCUGUGCAUCACGGGAUGAGGACAUCAGAGCCAGGUUCCAGCCCAGUGUCCAUCACUAACCUCACCCUGGAAGAGUAAUAAGAAUCAUCUCACCUCUCCUGGCAUCCAUCUCCUCCCCUGUGGAAUGUUAUGUGGUCACCUGGAUAAUAUCUAGGGUGCCAGUAUCACUAUUCUAGGCUUCCGUGAUGGUAAACAAGGGCUUGGGAAGAAGGAAGCUAGUGAUGACUAUGAAGACAGCCCAAGAGAUACACAGGACUCUCUCAAGGCAACGUACAUUUCCUGGGUGAGAAACCAGGCUCCAGGCAGAGAACACAUCUUUUCCUUAAUUGUAAUAAAAACCAGGGAGACGUGGUCUAUUUUUCAUGCACCUUCAAAGCCACUGGUGCACACAAAACUAAUAGCACCUGCUUCAAACAGCAGCAGCUCUUUGACCUCCAGCCUAAUUAGCGCAUUUCUCCAGUGAAACCAUCUGGACAGGGUCCGCCCUGGCUCAUUUCCUUCAUUAACAAAUCUUCCAAGUGGCAACAGAAGUCUCCUGUGUUGGCGCCAACCUUACAGGCACACCUCACGGCUGACAGGGCCCGAAGUGUGGUGGCAUUUUUCAUUUUCUAAUCAAAGGGGUCAGCGUAAAUGGGUGUUGGCAGUUGACGGCUGCAGCUGUCUGAUGUGUCAACUCCUUGCCACACAGAGUUUCUAAUAAAUGGUGCUGGAAAAAUAAUUCACCCCUCAGCUUUCUGUCACAGCGGCUAUGGUGGGAGAUCCUUGGGUGGCCGCUUUCCUGUCCCACUUAUUUGUGCAAGAGGUGGGGAGUGUGUACAUGUAGACACAGUUACAUCCAUGCAUAAACACUCAUGCACAGGAAUGGGAUGGAGGAGCCCUGCAUUACUGUGGUCGUGUUUUUAGUACUCAACCCUGAAAACCAAGGAGAGUGGGUGGGGAGGGACACCAGCAUCUGCUAAUACUUAACGCGAGCAUGGAAGCCACUAAAAGAUGUGGAGGAGGGCAGCUCUUGAAGCUGCUGGUGGCCCUCUGUCCUCAUGCACAGGUGAUAAGAAUGACAGGGGUCCAGCACCUGGUCAGGCCAGGGCAGGGCAUGCUUAACUGGAAGUCCACAUGGGUCGCAGAAGGCAGGGAGACACAAAAUGCUGUGGCUGCAGCAUCCAGAGAAGCCCAUCCAUCUUAACCUCAGAUCCAAGCUGAGGGGCUAUCAAGAAAGGAAAGGAUUGUAAAAUAGCUCAUUCUUUGCUCACAGAACCUCAGCACACAAAGAGAGAACCAAGUACUCAAACUAGAGAAAGUAUCAUGAACACGGUAAAGAAAUACUCCCAAAGAAGGAGAAGGGCCUGAGUUAAUCUUUCAGAACUUCUUGGAAGAAGUAACCCUACCUAGCAAUGCUGGGAAGAAACACUAUACUUGCAGUCAACUUGAAAUUAGUACAGUAGUCCCCCCUUAUCCAUGGUUUUAGUUACCCAGGGUCAACUGUAGUCCAAAAAUAUUAAGUGAAAAAUUCCAGAAACAAACAAUUUAUAAGUUUUAAAUUGCAUAACAUUCUGAGUAGCAAGAUGAAAUCUCAUGCUUCAUUGUUCAGUCCCAUCCAGGAUGGGAAUCAUCCCUUGGUCUGGGAGAUUCACACUGUAAGCCCUGCCUACCUACCCUGAGUCACU